rnacentral:rRNA from 1 species
AACGAACGCUGGCGGCAGGCCUAACACAUGCAAGUCGCAGGGGAAGCCGUUCUUCGGGAUGGUGGAGACUGGCGCACGGGUGAGUAACGCGUGGGUAUCUGCCCUGGGGUGGGGGAUAACCGCUGGAAACGGCGGCUAAUACCGCAUACGCCCUAAGGGGAAAGUCUUUUAGGCGCUCUGGGAGGAGCCCGCGUCCGAUUAGCUUGUUGGUGGGUAACGGCUCACCAAGGCGACGAUCGGUAGCUGGUCUGAGAGGAUGAUCAGCCACACUGGGACUGAGACACGGCCCAGACUCCUACGGGAGGCAGCAGUGGGGAAUAUUGGACAAUGGGCGCAAGCCUGAUCCAGCCAUGCCGCGUGAGUGAAGAAGGCCUUAGGGUUGUAAAGCUCUUUCACCGGUGAAGAUGAUGACGGUAGCCGGAGAAGAAGCCCCGGCUAACUCCGUG